AUUGAACGCUGGCGGCAGGCCUAACACAUGCAAGUCGAACGAGUGGCGGACGGGUGAGUAAUGUCUGGGAAACUGCCUGAUGGAGGGGGAUAACUACUGGAAACGGUAGCUAAUACCGCAUACCAUCAGAUGUGCCCAGAUGGGUUUAGCUAGUUGGUGGGGUAACGUCUCACCAAGGCGACGAUCCCUAGCUGGUCUGAGAGGAUGACCGGCCACACUGGAACGGGGACACGGUCCAGACUCCGACGGGAGGCAGCAGUGGGUAAGAUUGCACAAUGGGCGCAAGCCUGAUGCAGCCAUGCCGCGUGUAUGAAGAAGGCCUUCGGGUUGUAAAGUACUGUCAGCGGGGAGGCGUUACCCGCAGAAGAAGCACCGGCUAACUCCGUGCCAGCAGCCGCGGUAAUUC
rnacentral:rRNA from 1 species